GAUAAAAUGAUGAUUAAUUAAAACUAGAGGUUUCUUUUCAAUUAAUUUUUCGUACAAGUUUGCAAUGUAAGCAUAAAAUAUUUGAAAAAAUGAUGACCCUUAACUCGAUCUAGUCAAGUUCAAUAACCCGUGAAAAAGUGAUCAAUUGGGGCCGUUCUAAAUUUAAAAUAUCAAGUAAGUAAUCGAAAGAUGAUACGUUUUCUUUAUUAGCAAAAGUGAUAAAAAUAAUGGAAACCUACGAUUACAUAAUUUCUAUGAGAUGAAACAAUAAUCGAAGUACUUACCUCGUAGAAUUCUAUUCAGCACGGUGCCAUUCAUGUCUUUUGACCACAAACACCUCGCACAAAUUUUGUGUUUGGAAAACGAAGAACUGAUGAUGAAUUUAGUCCGGCGGUGAAACUAGACCGGAAUCAAUAAUGGUAGACUGCGUGACGAAUUCAUGUCGUGACGUCACUUUCAUUACAAUUUUCAGCACCUGAUUGUCAUUUUUAGUUAAUUGGAAUCAAUUCUAAAAUUAAUUCGUUUGAAGUUUUCGGCAAACCGGGGUAUUUUGGAUUAUUUCACCACCGAAACGGAACGCGGGUGGGGAUACCGUUUAUAAUGCUUGCUAGUGGCCUAUCGCGUACGUAGGUCCCAUGGUGUAAUGGUUAUCAUUCUGGACUCUGAAUCCAGCGAUCCGAGUUCGAAUCUCGGUGGGACCUGUAAUUUUUUUUACUGAAAUAUAAUUUUUUUAGACUCUAAGGUCCCGAAUACGUCGUGUAAAUGAGGUUUUUGAUUUUUUACAAAACAAUUUCGUAAUAUCUUCGGUUGUUCUAUUUCGCCAUCAUCAGAAUUCAUGUUUUUAUUGCGUGAUAUUCUAUACCUACCUAAUGGUUUGUCAAUAUGUUAACGAUGAAAUUUAUUAAAAUUUAAUUAGUUUUGA